GAAUGGAAACGAUCGGUCGGCCCUCCCCAAAGGGGGGUCGGCUCCGACCGUUCCAUACCGCGCCUCGAAAGGGGCGACCUCUAUGGGACGCUCACCCCUGCCCUUAGCUGGGUGGAGGUAAAAACCGCGGGGGUCAGCCAGAAGGAGUCCGCUCCCUAUGGUCCCUCCACGGCGAGCUCCCAUUCGUUUACUUUGAAUAAAUUAGAGUGUUCAAAGCAGGCAUACGAUGCAAAUCGCAGCCUUGAAUACAUUAGCAUGGGAUAAUGGAAUAGGACUUUGGUUGCGCAGCGACGCAGCGCAAGCCGCGUCUUGUUUCGUGUCGGUUUCUGGAGCCAAAGUA
rnacentral:rRNA from 1 species